AUGCUUGCUGGGAGUGAUGCCACCCGGUGCGCCACUGCAGCUCUCGUUCUCAUCGCUGGAGACCAGUCGUGUUUGAGCCCAUCUCCAUUGGCGGAUGCCGCCAUUUCCUUCUUCAGUGAACUCCCCGCCGGUGGCCUUCAUUCACUGGCUGAGGGGGGAGUGGCGCUCGAACGACCCGAGAAGGAAGGCGCGAUGGAUUUCCAUGGUGGGAUUGAGCUCAGACUGACCGCCGGAGACGAAGAUAGUGGUUCCGUUGCCGUAUCUGUAACCAAAGAGCUGAGGGGAUCUGGGAUGGACACAGACAUAGUCUCUGAUUAUGGAGAUCUUCGGAUGAACAAGAGAAUCACGUUUGAUCCUGGGGUUGCUUAUAAAACUCUGAAACUGGAGAGGAGUCUGUUUUAA
rnacentral:rRNA from 1 species